rfam:Rattus norvegicus chromosome 7, whole genome shotgun sequence.
GGGGAUUUAGCUCAGUGGUAGAGCGUUUGCCUAGCAAGCGCAAGGUCCUGGGUUCGGUCCCCAGCUCCG